GAAUUUGGAGUAAAUCCGGUGGACAAUGUUCUUCACGGCGUCACGCUCUCGAGGUUCGUCGGAGUUGAAGAGAGCAAGGAGGUUCAGAACAAAGUUCCGACCAAUGAAAUGUUCCUCCGGCGACAAACCUAUACUCAAGGAAAAAAUUACUAUGUUACUGCAUACCGGGAUUUAAUAUUCUGGAUUCGUCACUGUGUUCUCCUCGAAGGGCUUUCACGUCUUUCUUAUUUAUCAACCGCAGGAGAAUAUCAUAAACGAUUUGCAAGUGUGCCCAAGCGGCGGAAGGGGCGGCAAUGACAUCAUCCUCUUCCCCUGAACAUGUUCCCACAUAUGGUGGCGGGAGAGGACGGAAGAGAUUAGAAGCCACCAUCUUCAACAAAAUCUCUAGUGUUUCAUCAGAAACCGGAGUUACUGAUGUUUUGAUGAUCGAUAAAAGUUGUGUAAGUUUGAGUCGUUUCAAAGCCAAUUCUUGAGCAUCCAAACGAGACCGAGUGCAAUAAAUGAUUAUUGUUGAAAGUUCA